UACGUAAGGGGGCAAGCGUUGUCCGGAUUUACUGGGCGUAAAGAGCGUGUAGGCGCCAAGCAGGUCCGUUGUGAAAACUGGAGGCUUAACCUCCAGACGUCGACGGAAACCGCGUGGCUAGAGUCCGGAAGAGGAGAGUGGAAUUCCUGGUGUAGCGGUGAAAUGCGCAGAUAUCAGGAAGAACACCAAUGGCGAAGGCAGCUCUCUGGGGACGGUACUGACGCUGAGACGCGAAAGCGUGGGGAGCGAACAGG
rnacentral:rRNA from 1 species